rnacentral:rRNA from 1 species
AUUGAACGCUGGCGGCAGGCUUAACACAUGCAAGUCGAGCGGAGAUGAGGUGCUUGCACCUUAUCUUAGCGGCGGACGGGUGAGUAAUGCUUAGGAAUCUGCCUAUUAGUGGGGGACAACAUUCCGAAAGGAAUGCUAAUACCGCAUACGUCCUACGGGAGAAAGCAGGGGAUCUUCGGACCUCGCGCUAAUAGAUGAGCCUAAGUCGGAUUAGCUAGUUGGUGGGGUAAAGGCCUACCAAGGCGACGAUCUGUAGCGGGUCUGAGAGGAUGAUCCGCCACACUGGGACUGAGACACGGCCCAGACUCCUACGGGAGGCAGCAGUGGGGAAUAUUGGACAAUGGGGGGAACCCUGAUCCAGCCAUGCCGCGUGUGUGAAGAAGGCCUUAUGGCUGUAAAGCACUUUAAGCGAGGAGGAGGCUACUGAGACUAAUACUCUUGGAUAGUGGACGUUACUCGCAGAAUAAGCACCGGCUAACUCUGUGCCAGCCGCCGCUGUAA